rnacentral:tRNA from 1 species
ACCCGCCUAGCUCAGUUGGAUAGAGCGCCUCGCUACGAACGAGGAGGUCGGGGGUUCGAAUCCCUCGGUGGGUGCCA